rnacentral:misc_RNA from 1 species
CCUGUUUUAAUACUUUUUUAAGGUUAACUUUUCCUUCCAUAGGUUCCUGUGUUAUUUCUCGUCGAAAAGGAAUAGUUUAUCUAUAUUAUCAUUUUAUGAGAUCUUUCGAUUUAGCUAAUAUGUAUUGCGUUCCAAACUUCUGUUAGAGCUUCUAAUGAUACUACUCUAACAUCGUCACAUCCAUCAUCAAGUCUUUUCAAAA